AAUUCGAAACAGUAGUCUCUUUCUGCAUUGUAUUGAAAGGCUGUCUAGUAAUGUUGGCUUCUUUCUUCUUUAUAAUAAUCAUGGUAAGGUCGCUUACAUAGUCAAAUUAAUGGUGGAGGUUUGAGAUUUGUUGAUAAAAUAACUUUAAAAAGAAAAAACAACUGCAGAAUAAAAUAUUGCAAAGACUUGCCUAGGUGCAUUCCUUAUUAAAAUUGCAUGCCUUCAGUGAGUGAGUAGGUGAUUAAUCUGCUUUGACUUCUAACUGUAUUGUCUGUGUUCCCCCUGGGAUUUUAAAGGGUGGGUGAUUAUCAUAACCGACAUUGCAUAUUUGUGGUACAAUGGGAG
rnacentral:misc_RNA from 1 species